AGAACGAACGCUGGCGGCAUGCCUAAUACAUGCAAGUCGAACGAGAUCUUCGGAUCUAGUGGCGCACGGGUGCGUAACGCGUGGGAAUCUACCCUUGGGUUCGGAAUAACAGUUGGAAACGACUGCUAAUACCGGAUGAUGACGAAAGUCCAAAGAUUUAUCGCCCAGGGAUGAGCCCGCGUAGGAUUAGCUAGUUGGUGAGGUAAAGGCUCACCAAGGCUACGAUCCUUAGCUGGUCUGAGAGGAUGAUCAGCCACACUGGGACUGAGACACGGCCCAGACUCCUACGGGAGCAGCAGUACGGGAAUA
rnacentral:rRNA from 1 species